ACUGAAAGUAAGUCUGCACUUAUGCAUUUCAAAUGUGCAGUUUUUUUGUGCACUUAUGUAAACAUUUUUAGUUGGUCAACCAAGAUUCUAAUAAUUGCUUCAGUGUUCCAUGAAAGAAAUUGUGAGGACUGGUCUAUUGUAAGUUCAUGGUGCUGAUGGUAUUAGUUGUGAGAUUUUUUUUCUGAUAUUCAUAUCUAGCUGAUCCAAAGAGAAAGAAGACAGCUGAAGGUAAAUUGCUUCAUUGAAAUCUUUAUUAAAUCUGAUUCUUUGGCCUAAACAUCACUCAAUGGCCUUAUAUAACUCUGUCUCCAUGAUCCCCACAUCGCACUGUCUAAGUAUAUAUAUGUCCUACACAUCACACCGUUUCAAAUGUGUUCUACACAUAAGGCUCCUGUGGGGUUUAAAAGGGUGAAUCACUGCCAGUCUCCCCUCACAUGACACAAUCACAUGCAAAAACAUUUAACAAUCUGCUCAGCCAAGCACUAUCAUUUUUUAUGGGGUUUUUCUCGGUGUGCCAACUUUUAUUGCAAGCAGCAGUGUGUACCAAGUACAAACGUAUAUGUUAUGAAGCUCAACCUCUCAUCCACCAUUUUCUCAGAUGAGGUGUUAUUCUGUCUAGCAAAGAUUUGGUUGGUAAAGGGUAUGCUAUCACAUUAAAAUUUUUCAAUGGAAUUCCUCUUUAAAGCUUCUACAGAACUGUAUGGUGAGUUUUUGAUACUGUUAUAAUAAUAGUUAUAUAAUAAACUAUUAUGUAAUAAACAAUUAACUAAUAACUAUUUUAUAGCCAUGUUGGCAGAAAAUGUUUAUUAGUUAAUAAUAGUUUAUGUAAUAGUUAUAUAAUAAACUAUUACAUAAUAAACUAUUAUUAACUAAUAACUACUUUAUAGCCAUGUUGGCAGAAUACGUUUAUAACAAAGUUUUCUUGCAUUGUUUUUUAAGAAUUUUACAAAAAUGAAAUGUAUAUGAUGUAUUAUAUAUCGGAAGAGGUUUUAUAAAUAAUAUCAUUAUUAAAUAAAAUAGAAAAUACUGUGACAAUGUAGUUUAAAUAAGGUUUUCAAACAGGUAGUUAAAUCAGUGGUGUUAAAACUCCGGCCUGGGGCCCGUCUGUGUAUGCUGGUUUUUGUUCCAACCACCAAUUGCAAUCCCAGAAUUUUAUCAAGUUGUUAAUUUUUCUUACUUAUGUGCUUUUGAUGUUUGGAGGGAUUAUUUACCCUCUUAGGCCAUAGCAUGUCAGAAAUGCUAGUCACAGGGGCGAUCAAAUUAACAAUGCCUCACAUAGCAAACACCUUUGGCCACUGUUUUAUUUUUAUUUUACGGUCAAUGUAUCAAAGUGUGGUUUUGUUUUCUGUCCAUUGGCCAAUUAAUACCAACCAAUAAAGGACAAGGGAUAUCAGAGCCUGCAUGAGUACUGCAUUAGACAGAUUUGGCUUUGGGUUUGCAGAGUUGCACGAUUAUUUUAUUUCAUAUUUGUCCUUCCUUGCAUUGUAAAUAGCUCAUCUUUGCCAUCUGUUUUAACUCUUGCAGGAAACAGCAUACAAAAGACAGAGACAGAUGCGAUACAUAACAACACCAUACCCAUUGGUUUGGGCAGCGGUGUCGGAGUGAUCCUUCUCAUCGCUGUAACUGUGGGAGGAGGCCUGAUGCUACAAAGGCAAUGGUAAGAAAUGUUGCGGAGUGCAAUGAGGUGGAAGCCAUGAGAUGCCGAUGCAGGGCUGCAGCCAAUGUCUGCACACCUUACCAAAGAAACUGUCCGUUCGUUUUGGUCCUACAGCUACCAUUGAAGUUAUUGUAUGGCUAUUUUCUAAAAUGUUUUUUUUUUUUUAAUCAUCCCAUUGGCCAUUCCUACACCUCUCAGUUUGGUGGCUGUUAUCUUAAGAUGAAUGCCACCAUAUACAUGGAAUUUAUGAUUAUUAUUAUUAUUAUUAUUAUUAUUAUUAUUAUCUCUUGCUCUCUCUUUCUCUCACACACACGCACAGCUUCAGUGGAUGGAGGUCUAGAGAUUUGCCAGUACCAGAAACGGAACAUGUGCCUCUGCAUCCCCCAGAAAUACACCAGCCUCAGCAAGAACAAAACAGGUCUAGCACAGUAUGACCAUGGAAGACAAAAAGAGACCCAUUAAACCCUACCGAAGUCUACCAUCAAAAUACAACCGCAGGAGAUAAAUGGAAUGGAUUGAUCCACUGUGGCAGAUAUUGAAUAAAAUGGAACACACUGCAUUCAUGACAGUUAGAGACUGGAGAUAAAAUGUUGGGAACUGUAGGAAAGCUUUAGAAAUGAUCAGAAACAUGAAGAGAGUGGAUUCAUAGCACACAUCAAUGUGGAGAAUGUACGUUUUUUUUAUACUGCACUUUAUAUUAUGUCUUUGUUCUUACCUCAAACACGUUUUAAAUUUGUAAAUAUGAAUUUUAUCCUGAAUUCUCCAAGGUGAACGACAGGCACUGAUAAAAUCCAUGGGGCCUGAUUUACAAAACCUUUUAGCACACGCACUGAUUGGCUAUGGUAUCUGUUCUGCACCAAUCAUUGGUUGUGUUAUUGGUUUUGCACUUGCUCUUUUUUAAAUCAGCCCCACGGUGUCUUGCACCUACUCUUUGUAUGAAGCAUGUGUGGCGUACAGGUGAUUUGCCUCAGUGCCUCAGUGGACGUCUUCCUUGGCUCUGGGCACCUGCCCGGAGCUCUAGCCCAAGUUUGCUGAGCACCCCCCCCUGGCCCAGAGCUCCAGCCCUAGACCAGCUGGAUCAGCUGGGCACCCCCGCCUCCUGCCACUGUUGAUUCAGCUGUAGCACCCCGUCUGACCCUGCCACCCAUUGGUGUUCCUGCCCAUCUCUCUAUGUGACCGGAGUAGCCUUUGCUUGGACUUAAUUAAUACUAGAUUUGCUGUUUAUGUAUUAUAAUUUAUCUGUUUUCAUGUAAGCCAUAUCCAUAACAAACCGGUGCCUGCCCGCAGCAGAUGGGUUCCCCCUCUGAGUCCGGUUCUGCUCAAGGUUUCUUCCUGUUAUCAGUCAGGGAGUUUUUCCUUGCCACUGUUGCCCUAGGCUUACUUUUUGGGGGCCGGUUAUCUGUAAAGCUGCUUUGUGACAAAGCUCCUUUGUUAAAAGCGCUAUACAAGUAAAAAUAGAUUGAAAUUGAUUGAUUGAUUGAUUGGUUGAUUGAUUGAUUGAUUGAUUGACAGACAAGACUGGUCUGAAUGUAAAGUAGGACAGAGUGUAGCACAGUGGGUAAGGAACUGGGCUUGUAACCGAAAGGUUGCAGGUUCGAUUCCCGGGAAGGACACUGCCGUUGUAGUAAGGUACUUAACCGAAAUUGUUUCAGUAUAUAUCCAGCUGUAUAAAUGGAUACAAUGUAAAAAUGUAUAAAUGGAUACAAUGUAAAAAUGCUAUAUAAAAGUUGUGUAAGUCGCUCUGCUAAAUGCCUGUAAUGUAAAAUGAGCUUUUAAAAGAUAAUUGAUAACUUUUUUCAAUAAAUGAAAUUAUUUAUUUAAAUGUG